GAUCCCAUAAGCUCUGAUCAAUAUUGUAUCUGUAAUGUAAUACUCAAAUUUUAUUAUUGUUAGCAGGGUGGAUCAUCAUCCUCACAAAAUUAUGGUGGCAACCAGGGAGGAUCACAAAGCUAUAGUAGUGGCCAAGUGAGUAGUGCUUUAUUUUACCAAUUACAAAUUACGUCCUACAAGCUUUAGCCUCUGCUUGAAAUCAGGUUUUCUGUAUCCUGAUAUUCUCUGAUCUUGACUGGUUUGUUUUAAAGGGUGGAUCGUAUUCACAAAACUAUGGUGGCGGCCAAGUAAGUAGUGUUUUAUUUCACCAAUUACACAUUGCUUCCUACAAGCUUUAGCUUCUUCUCAAAAGCAAGUUUUCUGUAUCCUACUAUUCUCGGGUGUUGAUUGGUUGGUUUAUUUUAAAGAGUGGGUCUUCCUCACAAAACUAUUGUGGUGGCCAAGUAAAUAACACUUUAUUUCAUUAAUUCCACAUCACUUCCUACAAGCUUUAGCUUCUGCUCAAAAUGGGUUUUCUGUAUUGUAAUGUUCUCUGAUGUUGGUCGGUUUGUUUGUUUUAAAGGGUGGAUCAUAUUCACAAAACUAUGGUAGUGGCAAAGUGAGUGAAUGCUUUGUUUCUUUACUUUUAUAUUGCAUCCUACAAGCUUUGGCUUCUGCUCAAAUUGAGCAUUCCUGUAUUCUUGUUUUCUCUGAUAUUGGUUGUUGCUUUAUUUUAAAGGGUGAAUCAUACUCACAAAACUAUGGUGGUGGCAAAGGUGGAUCAUAUUCACAAAACUAUGGUAGUGGCCAAGUAAGUUAUGCUUUAUCUCCUUACUUACACAUCACAUUCUACAAGUUUUAG
rnacentral:lncRNA from 1 species